AGUGAACGCUGGCGGUAGGCCUAACACAUGCAAGUCGAACGGCAGCACAGUAAGAGCUUGCUCUUACGGGUGGCGAGUGGCGGACGGGUGAGGAAUACAUCGGAAUCUACUUUUUCGUGGGGGAUAACGUAGGGAAACUUACGCUAAUACCGCAUACGACCUACGGGUGAAAGCAGUGGAUCUUCGGACCUUGCGCGAUUGAAUGAGCCGAUGUCGGAUUAGCUAGUUGGCGGGGUAAAGGCCCACCAAGGCGACGAUCCGUAGCUGGUCUGAGAGGAUGACCACCCAAAUCGGAAAUAAGCAACGGUCCAGAACCGAACGGCGGGCGGCAGUGGGGAAUAAUGAGCAAAGGGAGAAAGCAAGCUCCAGCAAUGCCGGGGAGGGCAAAAAGGCCUUCGGAUUGUAAAGCCUUUUUUUUGGGAAAGAAAAGUCGGAGGUAAAUGCCCCGCUUUUAUAGGGGGACCCAAAAUAGAAGCACCGGACACCUUCGC
rnacentral:rRNA from 1 species